AGUGAACGCUGGCGGUAGGCCUAACACAUGCGAGUCGAACGGCAGCACAGUAAGAGCUUGCUCUUACGGGUGGCGAGUGGCGGACGGGUGAGGAAUACAUCGGAAUCUACUUUUUCGUGGGUGAUAACGUAGGGAAACUUACGCUAAUACCGCAUACGACCUACGGGUGAAAGCAGUGGAUCUUCGGACCUUGCGCGAUUGAAUGAGCCGAUGUCGGAUUAGCUAGUUGGCGGGGUAAAGGCCCACCAAGGCGACGAUCCGUAGCUGGUCUGAGAGGAUGAUCAGCCACACUGGAACUGAGACACGGUCCAGACUCCUACGGGAGGCAGCAGUGGGGAAUAUUGGACAAUGGGCGCAAGCCUGAUCCAGCCAUACUGCGUGGGUGAAGAAGGCCUUCGGGUUGUAAAGCCCUUUUGUUGGGAAAGAAAAGCAGCAGGUUAAUACCCCGCUGUUCUGACGGUACCCAAAGAAUAAGCACCGGCUAACUUCGUG
rnacentral:rRNA from 1 species